UUCUGGCAUCAUCUCAGUUGACAUCACACAUCCCGACACUCCGCAGCUCCGACUUUCUCCCCGCCGCACGCUUUGCUGGCAAACGCCCCCCUUCCCCAGCAUCUUUGGGGUUAAUUCAUGCAAAUUUGGGGGUUGGAGGAGGUGGGGGGGAGGAUGGAGGAGGUGAAGAUUUGCCCGAAGCCCCUCGUUUUCUCCCCGCUGCAGGCAGGAGCCAUGCCGGCGCUUCCGAGAGCUCCCUUCCCAAGGAGGCAUCUCCUGGCCCUGAAGGAUGGAGAUGGCCAAGCUCCUACAGACCUGGUGUAUAAACCCCAUGGACCAGGGGGGAGAUGCCUCCACCUGGACCGCUCUGUGUCAUCCCACAGCAACAAGUCCUGCGAGGCACCCGCCACCCAGUGAACAGUGGAAAGCAACGGGAAAUAUUUCUAUUCCCAUACACAGCUGGCAAAUUUGCAAUGAGCUGCUGGUGCCAACAGUGAUUGCCCACAGAAUCCCAGAACCACGGGAUGGUUGGGGUGGAAGGGACCUCUGGAGAUCCCCCAGCCCUGCUCACGUGGGGUCACCAGUGCAGAUCCAGACCCCUCAGCAUCUUUGUGUCCCUUCCUGGACUCUCCUUGUCCACCCCAGGGACAACAAGGUGGGUUGGGAGGGCUUGGCCCGCCCUCGAUACCCAAGAAACUCAGUGCUAAGUGUAAUUAAUUGCCCAUCAGGCGGGGGAUGUGGGGACAUAGGAGGGCUCAUGUUAUUUUAGCUUCCCAAGGGGCAGCGGGUGGCACCAAGUGGGUGCAUCACCGAGGCUUGCGGGGGAUGUUUUCACCCACUGCUCCUCCCAGCCCCUCAAAAACCUAUUUCCCAAUACUGAAAAGGACUUUCUAAACCUACGGCAAAACUGGGAAUCCUCAGUGCGCACAUCGGGCCGGACAGGAGGCUCCUCCGCUCAGGGGUUUCAUGUCAUCUGCAUCAUUUUGGCCUUUUCUGAAGGCAGAUCUGCCAUAACAGGUUGAAUCCAGAAAACAUUCUGCCUGAGGCUCAUCCUUAUGCAAUAUGCAGAAACUGAGGCCGGGGAGAGAACAACUCGAGUGCAGCUGAAUUUCUAACUUGUUAUUCCUGCUGCCGCCUUGCGAAGGUUUUGAAAACAGUGGUGGUGUGGGUUUUUUUUUCAUAUAAACAGCUCCAGCUCCUUACACGGAGCCAAAAAACAUCUCUAGCAAAUCAGGGGAAUUUCUCUGAACUGAGUGAGCUCUCCUGAUUUACGAUCCUAAUUGUGGAGCUAUUAUUGCAGCGUGUGGCGGCACUCGCCCCCCUGCCACGCUGACAUCUCCCGCGUAACCCAGCCUUGCUCCAGCUGCAGGAGCUGAGGAAUUGCACCCACUUCUCUGUUUCACACGGAUUUAACCACCCGAUGUCUUUGCAUUAAUAUUAAAAUUAAAAAAUCA